rnacentral:lncRNA from 1 species
GUCGAGUGAGGUUCCAUAGAGGUUCCGGUCCGCGGCUCUGUCGUUACAUCAAAAAUGAAAAUCACAAGUUAAAAAAUAAAUGAAAUUACAAAAUCCUAACUAUAAAGCUUCAGUUGGCUCUUGACUCGGCUUUUAUCACCCUAUUCUUCAGGCGGGCUCCUGACUUGCAAUUUAUUUCAACUUGUUUCUUGGCUUUCAUUUGCUUCACUUUGUUGCUUGACUUUUUAUUUCUUCACCCUAUUCUCCAGGCGGGCUCCUGACUUGCUAUUUCAUCACUUUGUUUCUUGACUUUUCGUUUCUUCACUCUAUUCUUUAGGCGGGCUCCUGACUUGCUAUUUCAUCACCUUGUUCUUUAGGCAGGCUCCUAAAACCCAAAAUUAAAACUAGAAUGAAAAUUAUCCCAAACAAAAAUUAUAGUAAAGUAGUAUUUCAUUUUUGAAAGCGUUGUCCCAUUUUCCAGGAGGGUCCUGAACAGAAAGUAAAGUCUCACUUUUCAGGAGGGUCCUGAACAUAAAGUGAAAUCUCAUUUUUUAGGAGGGUCCUGAACAGAAAGCAAAAUCUUAUUUUUCAGGAGGGUCCUGAACAGAAGGUAAAGUCCCAUUUUUCAGGAGGGGCCUGAACAAAAGGUAAAAUCCCAUUUUUCAGGAGGGUCCUGAACAGAAGGUAAAGUCCCAUUUUUCAGGAGGGUCCUGAACAUAAAGUAAAAUCUCAUUUUUUCAGGAGGGUCCUGAAUAGAAGGUAAAGUCCCAUUUUUCAGGAGGGUCCUGAAAGAAAGUAAAAUCCCAUUUUUUUAGGAGGGUCCUGAACAAACAGUAGGAUCCCAUUUUUCAGGAGGGUCCUGAACAGAAAGUAAAAUCCCAUUUUUCAGAAGGGUCAUGAACAGAAAGUAAAGUCCCAUUUUUCAGGAGGGUCCUGAACAGAAAGUAAAAUCCCAUGGAUGUGCAUUUCGAAUGGUAGCUGAAUUAAGUGAAGCGAAUUUGCCCCUAUUUCAACAAAGAAAAUUUGUCAGUUAAGAACUUAGUGGUGGCUUGCAGCUCUUGGCUUCUCAGGUAUCUGCCCCAGCACUCGUUCCUUUCAUCUUUGUUCCAAAUCACUGACACUUUCCCUAUCUUGCCACAUCAUUGACCCGAAUCCAGAUUGAGGGAAAUGAGUUCUGACUCGAACAAUGGGUUUCCAUUUUACCAUGUCUCUGAGGUGCAUUCUUUUCCCAAAUCUGAAUGUUUCCACGAAUCCAACAGCCUGUCAGUUGAUAGACUUUCUUUGCUUCGUGUUGAAUUCCGAUCAUAUUUAUUUCAUGUGCUGGUCCUUGGCUUUUCCUCAUAUAAUUGGAAAGACUGGUAGUAAAUUUUGAAAUCCUUUCUCGCUUGUUUUGACACAGACUUGACUUAAAUAUACGGAAAUGAUGGUGACUUUUAUUUGAUACAUGACAUAAAAAGACAAAAAGCACGAAUAUGUAAAUGAAAGAAAAGGGCAAUGUCCCAUAUUCAAAAAAGAAAACUUAUCUGAAUACGACAAACAACUCCAAUGAGUAUGACAUGCAUUUUGGAUUAAGCUGCCUGAUCUUCCUAUCCAAACUCCCCAUUUGUUGUUGAGUUCGUGCCUUUGCCGCUGAAUCGCUUCUUCAAAUCCAUUGGACUCAUACAUCACAUUCAAUUGACGACAUCUUAAAAGACUUUCGCCAACAAAUCUCUUUCUUUUUACUUUUUACUUUCCUCCUGAACUCGCCAUCGCCUUACGGUGCCCGUGAGAGUUUUCACUAAUAAUACUCUCUUAUUUUUAUUUCUCUCCACUCACCAUCGCCUUAUGGUACCUGCGAAGGUUUUCACCAAUAAGACUUUCUUAUUUUCAUUUCUCUCAACUCACCAUCACCUUAUGAUGCCCGCGGGGGUUUCACCAAUAAGACUCUCUCAUUUUGUAUUUCUUUCCUGAUUUCUUAUGCUGAGGGAGACAAGUGGUACCUCACAAUGUAUCAUCAUAUCCAUUUCAUGCUUAGGCUUAACAUUAUCAAAAAUUGAUCUGAAGGACUUUAUUUAGUUGUAACUUGGCUUUCGGAUAAGGUUAGAAAAGGAUGGCAAGAGGUUCAAACGACACUUGAAGUAGGGGUGGGACUUACAACUUUUGAAAUCGACUCAAACAACAUAUUAACUCAUGCCCCAGUUUUUGUUGGUUGGGUGACUCUAAAAUCUUUAUUUGGUUGGACCGAGCCCAAAAUAGGGCAGCCUACGUAUCUCACUCCCUAGAGAAGAGAAUCAGGUCGCACGUAGUUCCAUAAGCUGGUUCUUUGUUUUGAUUUUUUUUUUCAAACUCUUUCUUUUAUUCUUAUUUUCUUGACAUUUAUCUUUGACUCUAUUUUGAUUCCAAAAGAGGGAUAUGAAAUAAAAAAAUAAAACGAAGCUCAAACGGGUAAACAAAGGAUGAUANNNN